CAGGAUUUUUAGUUUACCAUCUUAUUCUGCAGAAUCCAAAAUAUGAUUAAAAGUUUCACACGAUCUAAUAAAUGAACAUCAACUGAUAUUUAAUCAGUUCACAAGCAGAUCAUUACUACAUGAUGCUACAUACAUAAAUGUUUAUCUGUCAGUGUGCAGGAGGAAACAUGAUGACUCCAUGUGACUGACUGAGUGUGUUUGCAUAUGUGUCCUGCCUCUCUGCUCCUCCAGCUGUUAAAGGUCAGAGUUGAUCAGUGGCUGUCCAGGCCUUUCAGAGCCACUGACACACCAGCAGCACAAUGAUGAUGUCACUGACUCUACUGCUGACCAUCCUGGGGCUCCUGGUUCAGGGUUCAUCAGGAGACAUAAUUAUGACUCAGACUCCAGGAUCUCUGUCUGUUGAUGCAGGACAGAGAGUCUCCAUUAAAUGUAAAGCUAGUGAAAGUGUCAGCGAUGAGGUAGACUGGUACCUCCAGAAACCUGGAGAAGCUCCUAAACUCCUGAUUUAUCAUGUUUCAAAUCGUCAGCCUGGAGUUCCUGAUCGUUUCAGUGGGACUAAGUCUGGAACUGAUUUCACUCUGACCAUCAGCAGAGUUCAGGCUGAAGAUGCAGGAGUUUAUUACUGUCAGCAGGAUUGGAGCUUUCCGUUCACACAGUGA